UGCUAGCAUGCACACUUAUGGUUGGUCCCAAACGAUCCUUGGCAGAUACUCGCGGUAAUGACUCACUGACAGACAUCGGCUGUCCUUCGGGUGUAGGUGUUUUACUCUUUCCCAUGAAAAAUGAAUAGAAUAAAACACACUCUGUGAUUGAAAAAUACUCAAGACACUAAAACAAAAGCCCUCCUUCUAGCGCCAAUGUUAACGCCAAGAUCUUUCUCCACGUCCCAAUCACGAAAGACGUCCUGAUCCUGCACAGUAAACACGAC
rnacentral:lncRNA from 1 species